GGAGGGGUGGCCGAGUGGCUGAAGGCGGCGGUUUGCUAAACCGUUAAGGGGCUCAAACCCCUUCGCAGGUUCGAAUCCUGUCCCCUCCGCCA
rnacentral:tRNA from 1 species